rnacentral:tRNA from 1 species
GCCGUUGAAGCACAACCGGACGUGCAGCUGAUUUGUAAUCAGCCGGAUGCGGGUUCAAAUCCCGUCAACGGCU